ACCCCACCUCCCUGUCCUCCAGCGAGACUUCAGGCCACGGAGGGCCAGGUCCUGCUGCACAUCGUGGGAAGGAAUCUAUUCCCUAGCAGAAGAAAGAGGCAAUGCAGCAAAGUGGUGCAGAACACAGGAGCUGGAGCCAUUCAGACCCAAGUCCAACUCUUGACCUCGCCCACUUUCUCUACAGUCCUGAGCAAUUACACCUGCCAAGCACCUUCCCAAUGGACAGACUGGCAGGCCCUACUCCCAACAGGCAUCCAGACUGAGCAUCACCAAGGAUGGGACAAACAGAAGCAAUGCAAGAGGAAAUGCGAACACGAACAUGCACCACUACACCACAACCUAUGGAAACAAUCAGGCAAAACAAGACUAGGAGACAUAUGACAAGAAAACAGGCCUGGACGCUUCAAAAAUGCCAAUGUCACGAAAGACAAAAACUGGGCAUGCUCUUCUGGAUCAAAGGAGACUAAAGAGAUAUAACAACCAAACACAAUAAAACUAUCCUAGAUUA